rnacentral:rRNA from 1 species
GACGGAGGGUGCUAGCGUUGUUCGGAAUUAUUGGGCGUAAAGGGCGCGUAGGCGGCCUGGCAAGUGGAAGGUGAAAUCCCUCGGCUUAACCGAGGAACUGCCCUCUAAACUGCCUGGCUUGAGACCGGGAGAGGUGAGUGGAAUUCCCAGUGUAGCGGUGAAAUGCGUAGAUAUUGGGAGGAACACCAGUGGCGAAGGCGGCUCACUGGACCGGUACUGACGCUGAGGCGCGAAAGCGUGGGGAGCAAACGGG